GCCUGGGUGGCUCAGUCGGUUAAGCGUCUGACUUCGGCUCAGGUCAUGAUCUCACAGUUUGUGAGUUCAAGCCCCACGUCGGGCU
rnacentral:tRNA from 1 species